CAGUAGCCGCGGGAAUACAGAGGGUGCAAGCGUUAAUCGGAAUUACUGGGCGUAAAGCGCGCGUAGGUGGUUUGUUAAGUUGGAUGUGAAAUCCCCGGGCUCAACCUGGGAACUGCAUCCAAAACUGGCAAGCUAGAGUAUGGUAGAGGGUGGUGGAAUUUCCUGUGUAGCGGUGAAAUGCGUAGAUAUAGGAAGGAACACCAGUGGCGAAGGCGACCACCUGGACUGAUACUGACACUGAGGUGCGAAAGCGUGGGGAGCAAACAGGAUUAGAUACCCCUGUAGUCCCUGUCUCUUAUAA
rnacentral:rRNA from 1 species